UUGGUUAAGUUCUGCCACAUCAAAACUCUUAGACAGCUAGCUGCCUCGGCGUUAUGUUUAUUAAUUACUGAUGGACUCCGUGGAGUUAAUCAGCUUUUAGGCACACGCUCUGGGGAUCUAACAGAUGGCUCAGCGCCUCCAGCACCAGCUCCCCUGGGCAGCCUGCAUCGGCAGGGAGUGUGGGAUGCCAAGCAAACCUCAGGAGGGCAACGUGACAGCUGUCCCCUCAUGGUUCCCUGGUUGCCCAGGCAUUGUUUUGCGUCAAAUGCAUCUGUUGAUGUAUCUAUAUCGCCUUCUAUAAGCAUGCCACAGUGAGAGUGUUCUGAUCACCAAGGAGGAAUACAACCAGCAAAUACUCUGCCAAGAGCCCCAGCUCUGAACGCGCCGUCCCAGCACCACACAGCUCGCUCAGUACGGAUUACCACAGGUCUGUCGACAGUCCCAUGAAUCCAUGAAAACUGCAAACAUGACCAACAG